CAGCUAUGUAAAAAAAAACUCAUUGCGUCAUCGAGCGAUGCUCUCCCUCCGCCGACUCUCGCCUCUUCUCUCUCGAUCCCCCUCCACCGCCGCCUCGCCUCUCCAUCUCUCUCUCUCUCUCUCCACGAUCUAUUCUUCUUCAUUAUCUCUCUCUCCCUAGAUGGAAGACAAAUCCAUCCACAAUCUCUUCCUCUCCAUUAUCUCCCUCGCCCUCACAGGAGAACAAAAUCGUUUAGAGCGGAAUCAAUUUUUGCCGUCUCCACGAAUUGGAUCCUGAAUCUUCUCACGUAUAAAUUUUGGAUGCUUUAUUGAGAUCAGGUCGGAGCACAUGAACAAUGCCCAUCAUCGCUGCUCAAGAUUCUCCCACUCUGCAUGAAGUUUGUCUCUGGUCGGUUGCUGUCAUUGGGCAGUCUUUGGUUGAAAACAAUGGUCUGCGAUAUACUCGAUGCGAAGGAUUCCUGGAAAGGAAUCCAAAAAGACUAGGAUGGGAACACAUGUUGCAUUUUAUUCUGAUGAAGAAUUGGUAAUAAGGGCAUUCAGGAUAGAGAUGUGGCAGCAUUGAUAUAAUACCGGAAAACAAUGCUGAUGUUGAGCAUUCAGAAAUCAGAGGAACCAAGAUUAUUCGAAGAUCAACAUAAGUACGAGCACAAGCAAAUUCAGGAAUUGAAUAGGAUAAUAGAAAACUUCAAAGCAAGCGCUGAUUGCUGAUGAAGUCAUUGUAAACCAGCAUAAAAAAUUUGGGACAGGGAGCACAAGUCGUGUUAUGCAUCUUGAUGAAGAAUCAAAAACUAAGGGAUGAAAGGAAACGAAUGAAUCAAAAUUCAUGGAAUAAAGAACAGUGAUGAAGAAGACCGCAAAUCAAAGACUGGAAGGUUCUCAAAGUCAUAAAGAUUCCAAACUGAGGACAUUGUGUAAUGGGGUUGAUAAACAAUCGGCGACCUGAGACAUUCCAAAACAUGGUGCAUCAAGGACUAAAAAACAAGUAGCGCAUUGAUAAAUAUUUAGUGACAUUUAGGAUUUUUCAAAAAUGUACAUGCACAUCAGAUUUGUACUAAAUGUACAUGCACAUCAGUUUUUUAUUACAAAAAUGCCAAUUAAUCUGUA